GAUGAACGCUGGCGGCGUGCUUAAUACAUGCAAGUCGAACGGAGAGCCUUUGUAGCAAUACGAGGGUUUCUUAGUGGCGAACGGGUGCGUAACGCGUUGGUGACCUGCCCCGAAGUGUGGGAUAACAGUUCGAAAGGACUGCUAAUACCGCAUGUGGACACGAGGGUUAGAGGCUUUGUGUCUAAAGCAGUAAUGCGCUUUGGGAGGGACCUGCGUCCCAUCAGCUAGUUGGUGAGGUAAUGGCUCACCAAGGCUACGACGGGUAGGGGACCUGAGAGGGUGGUCCCCCACACUGGCACUGAAACACGGGCCAGACACCUACGGGUGGCAG
rnacentral:rRNA from 1 species